GUGGGGAAGAGUAGGCUGGCUGUAGGGUGGUGGGAGGGUGGUGGGUAGUAGGAAGGGGGAGUAGCCUGCUGCAGAGGCAGCGGUUCAUGGAAAACCUCUACCAGGGCAGUGGGCCUGUGGCUUUGCAGGCUUUAGCCCCCAUGGCUACUCUCAUGGGCUGGGCUGGUGUUGAGUGCCUAUCACUUUUCCAUACUGAGGGUGUGAACUGUUGGUAGGUCUAUGAAUCUGGGGUCU
rnacentral:lncRNA from 1 species